UCAUUGUUGCCCCCCCCUUUUUUUAAACAAACAGUUAUAUGUACGUUAACUUACAUUGAAUUUUCCUUUAAGCUGUCAGCCUUCCAUUUUUAAAAGACUCAUUUCUUUCCACGAGUACAUAAAGCCCAAAUAAAUGAUUGGAAAGCAGCUGGUCUCUCUCCCUCAUAUGUCCACAUAAUCCUUCCUUCAAGCUCCUCUCAGCUGCUUCCUAUCUGCCUCACUGCGCAUGCGCUCCACAAAGGUACACCGUUGGCUGAGGUUGCCUUCAGGUGCUCCGUGUGAAGUCCGCCCUCUCGAAAAUUGAAGACGUUAGCACUUCUCUCGGUCGAAUUCGCUCUUGAUUCGAACACCCGGUGAAAACAGUCCACACGUGCAAAGUUAACGUGACUGGACUACAGCGAAAUAUACAUUUUUAUAUAAAAAAUGCGGAGGACCAGAGGACCAACAAAAGACAAAUAUGGCAAGUUAUUGCUGGAAACAGCGUGAUUCGACUGUCUGCCUCAGAACACAGACCGUUACUCUCAUCAGUGCAACUAGACCAAAGAGGGCUGGUGCUGGAGGAAAAGAGGGGAACCUCUAAAGCCUGCUGCUCAUCUCUGCUUGAGGGAAAACUGAACCAAACCGAACUCUGGGCCUGGGAGCUGCAUUGUGGAAAUAAAAGGCACCAUGUUUUAACAAGAAAGGAGAAUAAAUGCAGUGAAGAACAAUUAAAAAAGGAUU